rnacentral:rRNA from 1 species
UCCUUUUUCUAAAUACUCUAAAGGCUCCAGAUCAUGUCUGAUCUUGGAAGCUAAGCAGGGUCAUCCUGGUUAAUACUUGGAUGGGAGACCACCAGUGAAUACCAGAUACUGUAGGGU